rnacentral:rRNA from 1 species
UUAGCAUGGCGCGUGCUUACACAUGCAAGUCGAACGAUGAAGCCCAGCUUGCUGGGUGGAUUAGUGGCGAACGGGUGAGUAACACGUGAGUAACCUGCCCCCGACUCUGGGAUAAGCCCGGGAAACUGGGUCUAAUACCGGAUAUUACCUUUGACCGCAUGGUUGUUGGUGGAAAGAUUUAUCGGUGGGGGAUGGACUCGCGGCCUAUCAGCUUGUUGGUGAGGUAAUGGCUCACCAAGGCGACGACGGGUAGCCGGCCUGAGAGGGUGACCGGCCACACUGGGACUGAGACACGGCCCAGACUCCUACGGGAGGCAGCAGUGGGGAAUAUUGCACAAUGGGCGAAAGCCUGAUGCAGCGACGCCGCGUGAGGGAUGACGGCCUUCGGGUUGUAAACCUCUUUCAGUAGGGAAGAAGCGAAAGUGACGGUACCUGCAGAAGAAGCGCCGGCUAACUACGUGCCAGCAGCCGCGGUAAUACGUAGGGCGCAAGCGUUAUCCGGAUUUAUUGGGCGUAAAGAGCUCGUAGGCGGUUUGUCGCGUCUGCCGUGAAAGUCCGAGGCUCAACCUCGGAUCUGCGGUGGGUACGGGCAGACUAGAGUGAUGUAGGGGAGACUGGAAUUCCUGGUGUAGCGGUGAAAUGCGCAGAUAUCAGGAGGAACACCGAUGGCGAAGGCAGGUCUCUGGGCAUUUACUGACGCUGAGGAGCGAAAGCAUGGGGAGCGAACAGGAUUAGAUACCCUGGUAGUCCAUGCCGUAAACGUUGGGCACUAGGUGUGGGGGACAUUCCACGUUUUCCGCGCCGUAGCUAACGCAUUAAGUGCCCCGCCUGGGGAGUACGGCCGCAAGGCUAAAACUCAAAGGAAUUGACGGGGGCCCGCACAAGCGGCGGAGCAUGCGGAUUAAUUCGAUGCAACGCGAAGAACCUUACCAAGGCUUGACAUGUGCCAGACCGCCUCAGAGAUGGGGUUUCCCUUCGGGGCUGGUUCACAGGUGGUGCAUGGUUGUCGUCAGCUCGUGUCGUGAGAUGUUGGGUUAAGUCCCGCAACGAGCGCAACCCUCGUUCCAUGUUGCCAGCACGUAAAGGUGGGGACUCAUGGGAGACUGCCGGGGUCAACUCGGAGGAAGGUGGGGAUGACGUCAAAUCAUCAUGCCCCUUAUGUCUUGGGCUUCACGCAUGCUACAAUGGCCGGUACAAUGGGUUGCGAUACUGUGAGGUGGAGCUAAUCCCUAAAAGCCGGUCUCAGUUCGGAUUGGGGUCUGCAACUCGACCCCAUGAAGUCGGAGUCGCUAGUAAUCGCAGAUCAGCAACGCUGCGGUGAAUACGUUCCCGGGCCUUGUACACACCGCCCGUCAAGUCACGAAAGUUGGUAACACCCGAAGCCGAUGGCCUAACCACCUUGUGUGGGGGAGUCGUCGAACGUGCACUUUGUC